rnacentral:rRNA from 1 species
UACAGAGGUCUCAAGCGUUGUUCGGAUUCAUUGGGCGUAAAGGGCGCGUAGGCGGCUUUGCAAGUGACGGGUGAAAUCCCUCGGCUUAACCGAGGAACUGCCUGUCAAACUGCAUGGCUUGAGACCGGGAGAGGUGAGUGGAAUUCCCAGUGUAGCGGUGAAAUGCGUAGAUAUUGGGAGGAACACCAGUGGCGAAGGCGGCUCACUGGACCGGUACUGACGCUGAUGCGCGAAAGCGUGGGAGCAACAGG